rnacentral:lncRNA from 1 species
AGAACAUCUAAAGUAUUCACAGACAAAGUCUGAUUUGGAAUUAGGUUGGUGAUUUCCAUUCGGUCUUUGGUUGGAUCGUUGCUUAGCCAGGCACUUACUACAGACUGGUUAAUGGUGCUGUGGGAAAAAUAGGCAGUACUCCUUCCUCCUUGAUGAAGAAAAGACGGUUUUUCAGAUACGUCUGUGGAAGUAUCCCAGUGCCAGAGAGAUCCAUCUUCAGAACAUGUAAAUAAGUGAUCUGGGUUGGAGGGGUGGAAGUGAACUUCCCACAUUUCUGCUUCAUGAGCAUUUAGCAGGGACACUGGCAUAGUACCCUGCCUGAUGUCCCAGAUACUCAGCAUCCCAUCCUGGCCUCCUGUGGCCACAAUGUGUUGCUGAUUGGGGUGUCUGUCCACACAGUGCAGUGGAACUCUGUCGCCUGUCAAAGAAAAUAUUUGAGCUGGCUCAUUUCUUUGCUGUCUGAAGUCCCAUAUUUUCAGCUGUCCAAUUGAAUUUACCGUCAAGAUCUCAGUUGUGCGAAGGAAAGUCACGGCAUGGAGUGUACUGCUAUCCGCAUUGUCUAUAGUCCUCACUGCAUCCUUUUGGUCAGCUCUGUAGAGAUUAAUUCUACCAUCUUCUCCAACAGUGACAAUUUCUGGGUUGUUGCAGAUGACUCCGGUACACGCUGCUCCGCCACAAGCUGUGUAUUGAUCUGCAUGAUAAUGGGCGUUCUCCCACCGGUGACUGGCAGAUAGAGUCUGGUUGUUCUGAUGGUGACGGAACACAGUCACACUUCCUGUUGAGGAGCCAACAACGAUUCUCUCUUGAUCCAAAAACUGCAUGUCCAUCACGUCGCCGUUGUGCCGGAUGUCACACAGCAGCUGAGGCUCUCCUUGAUACUCGCCGUUGAGGCCCGCGCUUCCCACAUCUCCCACAGACCAAAUGGAGAUGCGGUUGUCCUCGUUGUCCCAGGAGCCGGUGGCGAAGAGGUCGGGGGGCUGCAGCGCGGCGGCGGGCAGGGGCCGCCAUCGGGCCUUGCUGAUCUUUUGCGACACGAACCGCGCGCACACCUCCUCCAUGGCGCCGCACGGCUCCCGCCGCUGCCACGCGCCGCCUGAUUGGCUGCGGGGCGACGGCGAGCGCCGAGGGACAGCGCUGGGCGCGGCGGCGAGAGCGGCCGUGCGGGCUGGGAGACGCGGCGGGACGGGCGUUCCGGCACGCAGUCACCAGCUUUUUUUUUUUUCCCUCCAAUACAGCACGGCCGCACGUUUAUGUGUCACGAGCAGGACAGCAGAAACAGCCCCAAGGCAGCUGGAGUUCAAGGAGCGUUUGCGCGACACGCUCACACGUAGAUAGGGCGUGAAUGCGGGUGAUGCUGCACAACGCCAGCUGCUGGGCUCUGUGAUCCCUUUGGGCCCCUUCCAGUGACUCUACGAUCGCCAGAGCCACGAACAAGCGUUCCACACAAAGUUCAGGGGUCAGCUGUAAAACGAGCUCCGGGCUGACAGGGCCGGGCUGCAGGGCCGGGAUGGGACGGUGCUGCAGCGCAGUGAGGCCAUUCCCGAGGCACCUUCCUACCCGGACCUGCCUGAGUUCUGCUGCAUUUUCUCACGGCCAGCACUGCCAGCUGCCUGGGGCUCUGCCAGCUGUGCUUACCGGCAGCAGUGUCUUGGUCAGGCUUCCAGCUCCGCUACUGCAGCUCUCCUGCCAAAGCACUCUGACUUCCUUUCACGACGCAUUCUUGGUCUCCUCUGCAGCAUCACCGUUGUUCAGAUGUGACACAAGCUCGGUGACAUCAGCCCGUGUGCUUUGUGCAUCACUUCAUUCGUGGCAACAUCUUUUUUCAUAAUUACAUACAGCAGUAUCCAACAGGGAAUGGAUCCGAAAAGCAGAUGCUACGGUAGUGUCCAUGCUAUGAACCUAAAGACAGCUGUGCCGCUCUCUGCAGUGACGUUAUCACCUCCCAGCAGCACCCUGUGCUGAGCUGCUAGCAGUGUGACCUUGCAAGUCACAGCCAGCUCCGCCAGCGCUCCCUGCCCACUCUAACACUUGUGAGAAGGGUCAAUGGGGAGAGCACGGAGACAGACCGGAGAACUCCACAAGGAAGAGAUCAUACCUUGACGUUACUGAGAUGUUUGAUUAGACAACUAUCUUUGAUGGUUACUUCGUAAUAUUUGUGUGAUGUUCGUUUAUUUCUUCUGUGCUCUUGGAUGGUUUCUCUCUUUGCUCAGGAGCGCUUGAUGGAAAGCAUUUGGGAAGUAUUAAAGUGAGUAGGUGGGACACAGACUGUUUACAUUGGGAGGGGAAGAAGAAUCAAUUUUUCUUCCCUGUCCUGCUUUUCUUUUCAGAUCCUUUUGGCUGCAUGCUCUGUGUUGGACUUAGGGCUGCUCUGUAGGCCUUUAAACGUAAUCUCUGCAUUUGAUCAUGAUGAAAGAUGAGUACUGUGUUAGCACAUUGUUUCACUAUAAUAUCAAAUCUAAUUAAACAAGUAAAAGAAGGAAACAAAGGCUGCAAGACAAAAUGCCUCAUCAAGUAUUCCUGAGGUUGUCAAUAAGGACUUUAAGACUAGACAAAGCUGGCUCUGGGCACUGGGCCCAAACAUAUAGCAGAGGCAGAAAUGAGUUUGUAUGGGUUGUUCUCAUUGUGGCUAAAGGUAGGAGUGUGAGCGAGAGGGAUGAGAAGCCAAAGCAUGUCUCUCUCUGUCAGAGGCUGCGGAGCCUGGAGAGGCAGGCACCUGCCAGUCAGUGGGUGUGCAAAGGCAGGACGAAGCCAAUUCUGAAUUCUAUUUGCCAAUAAUCUGCUUUCCUCUAAUUAUCACACAGCGAUAUUUUAAGAAAAUUGUUGGAAGAUUCUGUAUUUACUGCUGGUCAUAGCUCCUGGAGCUGUGCCCAGUUCAAUCUCCUGAACAAGCACAGUCGACAAUGCAGGGCACUGCAGAGCAGAUAUAAGAGCAGAGAGCCGGGGCCACGAGCACACCCAUAGCCCCUGCUUGCCCUGACCUGUGGAGGCAGAGUGCAAAAUAGCCUUAGAUGCAAACUUCUGAAAUGGAAAUAUAAAAUUAAAGCUGGCUUGGGACAACAGGAAGAGAGAAAAGAUGAAGGAGAAUGAUUAAGUUAAAAACAGAACAGAGGCAGGGAGAGGAGUGAGUGUAGGUGUAGAAGCCAAUUAGUGUGUGGUUUGGGACAUAGCUGUGGAAAUGCUCAGCAGGAACAUUUCAUAAAGAAAUUUCUGCUUGCCGUAUGUAUAUGCAGAAGCAGAUGGGACCAGACAGUGACGAACAACUUUUCACAUGCUUCUGAAAUUCAGAGGCUUUCAAAUUUCUAAUGGGUGCAUGAGGUGGGAGGGAAAGGAUAUAACAGAAAUAGUAGCAUGGAGGGGUUUAUAUAUAAAUAUAUAAGAGACUGAGAUGUGGGUGAAUGUGCAGAAAAGGAGAGAGAACCAACGGUCUGCAUGCUUAAAACUACUGGGAUUUCCAUGUCAGAGCAAUCCCACGAUAGCCCACUACUGGCAUUCCCCUAUUCCCCUUGGCAGGGCCUGGAGGGGCUGGGGAGGUGGUCGUGCCUCUGGAAGGUGGAGGGGCCUGCAAUUGACCGUGGACAUCUGCGGACUGAGGUGCUUAUGCUGGUUUGGACAAGUGAGGGGGAAGAUGAAGGAACCUUGAGUGUCAGAGCAGAUGAAAAUGUGCUGAUGGACAGAAAACACUUUACAAAAUUCUGCUUUUUUUUUUUAUUAUUAUUCUAGCAUAGAACACAGGCAUUCUUUCAUGGGCUUUUAUUGACAAGCAUGCUCUUAAUAGGUUUUAAUAACAGACUCAUGGCCUGGGGUUAUAGAGCAAAAAGUGCAAGUGAUCCUCAUGGCUGUUUAUUGUACAAAAGGGUGCAUCCUGUUGCCAUUGGUGCACUGUAGUUUCUCAGUGUCAUUUGAGCCCAAUUGGCUUGUCUUAAAGUUCCUGGAAAUCUGCAGAGCCAAACCAUUUCCUUCUCACAUGCCUGUUACCACCCCAGAUAUCACUUACAUUCUUGUCACUAUCUGAGAAACCAUGCCAAGCAUGGUGCCAAUAAAUGGCCAAGGUCAGCCUGAAAGCUGCAGGGUAGGUUUGUGUGUUCCUCUGAGAUAAAGUUAGGUUCUGUCUCUAUUCUCUGACAAGCAUAAGCCUGAUUCAAGCCUGGUGCUGGUAGGAACAGUCAGGCUGUAUGAAAAUGGCUUCUCUGGUAUUUCUGGUCUCCCAAGGGGGGAAGUAUCCUUGGAAUGCUUUCGAGCAUGGGUCAGCUAGUUUGCUGCUAACAGCCUCUCUAUGUAAAAGCAAUGCAGUUUGCCUGCAUCUGACAACAGAAAAUGCCUUUUGCAUUUAAAACAAUGAAGUAUUUUUGUGUGCUUGUUUUUACAAUGUGUUUGUUCUUUGUACUUGCUGCCCUUUGGGAAUUCUUGUAACUCUAGGGCUUUCUCCCUUCCUUCCUGACCCACUGGACGCAACAAGGAGACCUCGCAUGCUGUGGGAUGGGCUGCAGAGCAGUUUCCAGAUCGUGCCUGAGAGAAGAUGGAUGCAGAAUACAAAACGAAGCAGCAGAUCCACCUCCAAUAUUACAAGAACCAGAUGGGAAAGGUCUGGGAAUUCAAUGGACACAACCCUGGCGUGUGCACUGGGCAACUGCCAGCUUUGCCCUUUAGGGAAUGCUAGCCAGAAAAGCAAAUUCCUCACUUCCCUUACCUGAAUUAACGAUCAUGGGAUGGAGAGCAGUGUGAUGUGGAGAUGGUGCUGUCUCAUUGCUCCCAAGAUAGAUUUUUACACAAAAAGAUGUUAUCUGCAUCUCCCGUGGUGGUAUAACAGGCAGCAUGUGUCCUUGUGCCCGGAAUGCUUUCAGAG